rnacentral:lncRNA from 1 species
GAAUGUGAAGACCAACAAAGCUGUAUCCUUCCUGUUUCUGCGGAUGCACGCCAAGGUACUCUCUCCUUUCCCAUUGUUUCAGGACCAAAUCCUCUGAAGAUUCUCUAUCUAGCUUCUUUUGGGGCAUUCUCUUCACAACUUCUGCCCUGAAUCCUUCAACACCCUGAAUCAUUCAAAUUUAACAGGGAGAAAAUGAUACCGGUUAGAUCAUCUACCGAAAAGUUUGGUUCUGCCAAAAAGCGAUAUAGUAUUACAUCAGCUAACACUAGUAAGCACUUCUAUUCAAAACCAAUAUGUCAUCAUGGAACUCAUGUUUCCCUAUCAACACCGUGUAUGCUAUGACUUUACCAACUCCAAUUGAGGCCAUACGAAUGACAAAUUAUUAUUUUUAACAAGUAAAACAUAAACCAACUAAGCAAUGCUACUCACCAGUUCGUCAAUUAACCACAUCAUUCUUGUUUUCUGCCUGUUCCCUCGGGUACCAAGAUCUCUAUAAGCUUCUAAUAUAGCUUUGCAAACAGGGACUACAUCAUCAGCUGGAACCCAUGCAUCAAGAGGAAUUGCCUCUGCACAUCGCUUCGGACUGAAGAAUCCACCCACAAGCAGGUUGAAUCCAAAUCGUCCAUCUUUGGUUGCAGGCAUAUACGCAAGAUCAUUGAUAUGCGGAUG